GUUUGGGUGGCGGACGGGUGAGUAACGCGUAAAGAACUUGCCUCACAGCUAGGGACAACAUUUGGAAACGAAUGCUAAUACCUGAUAUUAUGAUUAUAUGGCAUCCUAUAAUUAUGAAAGCUAUAAGCGCUGUGAGAGAGCUUUGCGUCCCAUUAGCUAGUUGGAGAGGUAACGGCUCACCAAGGCGAUGAUGGGUAGCCGGCCUGAGAGGGUGAUCGGCCACACUGGGACUGAGACACGGCCCAGACUCC
rnacentral:rRNA from 1 species